GUGCAGCAGUCGCGAAUCUUCGGCAAUGGGGGAAACCCUGACCGAGCGACGCCGCGUGUGGGAUGAAGGCCCUUGGGUUGUAAACCACUGUCAGAGGGGAUGAAAUGCCGGAAAGUUAUCUCUCCGGUUUGACAUAGCCUCAGAGGAAGCACGGGCUAAGUUCGUGCCAGCAGCCGCGGUAAGACGAACUGUGCAAACGUUAUUCGGAAUCACUGGGCUUGAAGAGUGCGUAGGCGGUUUCGUAAGUAGGGUGUGAAAGCCCCCGGCUCAACCGGGGGAAUUGCGUCCUAAACUGCGAGGCUGGAGUGAGGUAGGGGUGUGUGGAACUUCCAGUGGAGCGGUGAAAUGUGUUGAUAUUGGAAGGAACGCCGGUGGCGAAAGCGACACACUGGACCUUGUCUGACGCUGAGGCACGAAAGCCAGGGGAGCAAACGGGAUUAGAUACCCGUGUAGU
rnacentral:rRNA from 1 species